rnacentral:rRNA from 1 species
GUGAAAUUGUUGAAAGGGAAACGAUUGAAGUCAGUCGUGCCGGCGGGGAUUCAGCGAAUUCCGUGGAAUGAGCGUACUUCCUCGCAUGGCAGGUCAGCGUCAGUUUCGCGCGUCGUGAACUGGUUCUGGUAAGGUGGCUCUCUUCGGGGAGUGUGAUAGACCGGAGCAGAUGCGGGGGCGCGAGACUGAGGAUUGCAGCGAACACCCUUCGGGGCGCGGCAUCGGGUCUCUGUUCCGUCACCUGUGUCCGAUAGCGUGCUAACGGAUGUGGGAGCGGCGGUUCACCGGACUGGAAUGGCAGCGGUUCGCUUAGGACGCUGACGUAAUGGCUUUAAACGAC